rnacentral:lncRNA from 1 species
GUGGAAGUAGCGAUCUUGCUCGGAGAAAAAAAGGGAGGAGUCAACGAAGAAUAAGGGAGCAAAACUUUCAGUUUAAUUGGAUAUCGGGUUAUGAGUUGGAUUUUAAUAAAUUAGGGAUAGUAAUAAAUACACCAAUAGGAUGGAUAUAUUUAAGCCAAACUAGCCUAAGGUUAGACCCAAAGUAUAACAAUGAGUAUAUUUGGCCCUUUUCCAUAAACCUUUAGGAAAGAGAGAACAUGCAUGGAAGAUGAUAAGGCCAGCCCUCCUUCGCUGCUACAAUUCAACCUGCAUCCCUUUCUCGGCUACUCCAUAAGCAUAGCAAAUUCUUGAGCAAAUCAACCAUGCCAAGCCUAAUAAGUUUAAGAUAAGAUGAGCAACAAUGUUGCAGAUCCACCUUUGCAAUAUCAGCAACAAUUCAAUAUGCCAAAUCUGGAGCCUCAUUCUAUUCCGAAUAGAAAACCAAUUUUACUUGGUAAACAAGUUCAUCAAAUUCUCCCUACAUUGUGUUCAAAUUUCAAGCAGAAGACUAGGAGUACCUUCCACAUCACAUUAUAAGUUGGUCCACAAGUUCAUAACAUCCGUGAAGUUAAAAACAAGAAUACGUUGUACUCAUAGAAAUUUUAUGAGAAUCACAAUAAUCAUGUCUCAGCAAUACUUAUCGCACCAGUAACUGGGAGGAAAUUAAACAUAGCUGAUACAUACUCAUAAUUGUGCAUAUGUAGCAGCAGUAUAUGAAAUACCACAGAACUUGGCAAAACUAUAAGCAAAUGAACAAGUGCAGCAGUGACUAUUCACUUUCUGGAACUGAAAUGACAGACGGAUGGGCUGGACAACAACAACAACAACAACAACAAGAAGUACCCCCUAUAGUCCACAAAGUGGGGUCUGGGGAGGGUAAUAUGUAGACGGGCCUUACCCCUACCAGAAAGGGCAGAAAGGCUGUUUCCAAUCGACAACAGACUUAGAACAGAUAUCAGAGCUGAAAUUCUUCCAUCAUACAAUAUACUACCCCUUCCUGCAUUUCACACGUAUAUGACAAUACUAAUAAACUAUAUGGGUCAAGAAACCCUGACCUAUUAUAAAAUAAAAGAGAAA